rnacentral:rRNA from 1 species
ACGGAGGGUGCAAGCGUUAAUCGGAAUUACUGGGCGUAAAGCGCGCGUAGGCGGCUAUUUAAGUCGGAUGUGAAAGCCCUGGGCUCAACCUGGGAACUGCAUUCGAUACUGGGUAGCUAGAGUAUAGGAGAGGAGUGUGGAAUUUCAGGUGUAGCGGUGAAAUGCGUAGAGAUCUGAAGGAACACCAGUGGCGAAGGCGACACUCUGGCCUAAUACUGACGCUGAGGUGCGAAAGCGUGGGGAGCAAACAGG